rnacentral:tRNA from 1 species
AAGAUUUAGUUUAGAUAAAGAACAUCUUACUUACAAUAAGAAGGGAGUUUAAUCUUGA